GCUGGGCAUGGUAGUGCACACCUGUAAUCCCAGUGGCUCGGGAGGCUGAGGCAGGAGGAUCAUGAGUUCAAAGCCAGUCUCAGCAAAAGCAAGGCGCUAAGCAACUCAGUGAGACCCUGUCUCUA
rnacentral:sRNA from 1 species